rnacentral:RNase_P_RNA from 1 species
GAAGUAAGAAAGGUAGUCGCUCUUCACAAUUUGUGAAGGGAGGAAAGUCCGAACUCCGUAGAGCAGGAUACCAGGUAACGCCUGGGGACUGAUGACGAAAGUCAUUGGUCACGGAAAGUCCCGCUUUUGCGGGAUCCCGAAUUUUUCGGGAUGCAACAGAAAAUACACCGCCUCGACUCAGUCGGGGUAAGGGUGAAAUGGCGGGGUAAGAGCCCACCAGCAUCCGGGUAACCGGAUGGCUUGGCAAACCCUAUCCGGAGCAAGGUCAAAUAAAGGAGGAAGCGAGAUCCUGUUUUUUGUUCACUCGCUACGAAGUUGCUCGCUUCGUUCUCACUCCUGGGUAGACCGCUUGAGUUCGAUGGCGACAUCGAACCGAGAUAGAUGACUACCUCUCCUGCGGGAGAACAGAAUUCGGCUUACUUACUUCUCAU